rnacentral:rRNA from 1 species
UACGUAGGGUGCGAGCGUUAACCGGAAUUACUGGGCGUAAAGCGUGCGCAGGCGGUUCGCCAAGUCAGGUGUGAAAUCCCCGGGCUUAACCUGGGAAUUGCGCUUGAAACUAGCGGGCUUGAGUGUGGCAGAGGGGGGUGGAAUUCCACGUGUAGCAGUGAAAUGCGUAGAGAUGUGGAGGAACACCGAUGGCGAAGGCAGCCCCCUGGGUCAACACUGACGCUCAUGCACGAAAGCGUGGGGAGCAAACAGG